UCCCUGGUGGCUCAGACGGUAAAGUGUCUGCCUGCAAUGCAGGAGACCCGGGUUUGAUUUCUGGGUCAGGAAG
rnacentral:tRNA from 1 species